rnacentral:rRNA from 1 species
AUGGAGAGGAUGGCUCAAUCCUACUUCAAGGAGAUUUUCACUAAGGAUCCAACUCUUUCCCCCGAUGAGAUUCUUGACUGUAUAGUACCGAAGGUCACCGAUGAGAUGAAUGAUAUGUUAUGCAAGCUGUCCUCUGAUGAGGAAAUCUCUAACGCCCUAUUCCAGAUCGGUCCCAUCAAAGCGCCGGGCUGUGACGGUUUGCCGGCCAGGUUCUUUUAGCGUAACUGGGCACUGCUGAAGGUGGAAAUUGUUGCUGCAGUCCGUGAGUUUUUUGUGACUGGUGUUAUGCCUGAAGGAGUUAAUGACACGGCUAUUGUGCUAAUUCCGAAGGUCCCUCACCCUAAGGACCUGAAAGAUUUUCGGCCAGUAAGCUUCUGUAAUGUCAUUUACAAGAUUGUCUCGAAGUGUAUGGUGAAUAGAUUGCAUCCUAUUCUGACAGAGCUUAUUUCAGAAAACCAAAGCGCCUUCACUCCUGGGAGGCUAAUCACUGACAACCCCAUAAUUGCAUUUGAGUGUCUCCAUCACAUUCAGACUGCGAGAAACAAUGCACCAAGUCUAUGUGCAUACAAACUUGAUUUAUCUAAAUCCUAUGACCGGGUGGAUUGGUCCUUUUUGGAGAAAGCCCUGGCUAGGUGAGGCUUUUCAGAGCUAUGGAUUUCUCAUUUUAUGGCAUGUGUGUCCUCAGUCAAGUAUUCGGUGAAAUUUAAUGGCAAGUUAUUGGAGUCCUUCUCUCCCUCUAGGGGACUCUGCCAAGGUGACCCCUUGUCCCCUUUCCUCUUCUUAUUUUUUGCUGAUGCCCUGCCUUUGUUGAUGGAGAAGGCUGCAAGAGAGGACGGGCUCAAAGGUGUUACGAUUUGUAGAGGGGCUCUGGAGAUCACACACCUCUUAUUUGCGGAUGAUUCACUCUUGUUCUUCCAUGCUACGCAACAACAGGCAUGGUUGGUGAAUGGAAUGUUGAACACAUUUGUGGCGGCGACUGGACAACUUAUCAACCCAUCGAAGUGUUCCAUUCUAUUUUCAGCACAAUGCCCAUCCAAUGUGGUACAAGAGAUAAAGCUUACGUUGGAAAUUUCACAGGAGGCCUUUGAACCCAAGUACUUGGGCCUGCCUGUGCCCGAGGGGAGGAUGCACAAGGGGAACUUUGAGUCCACCCAGGAGCAUUUGAGGAAGAUUCUCGUUGACUAGAGCGAGCAAUAUAUGUCCACGGGGAACAAAGAUAUCCUUAUCAAAUCUGUUGCUCAGGCCAUCCCUACAUAUGUUAUGAGCGUAUUUAAACUCCAUGCCUCGGUAUACGAUGAUAUCACACGUAUGAUACGCCAGUAUUGGUGGGGAGUUGAGAAUGGUAAGAAGAAGAUGGCUUGGAUGAGCGGAAAAUUGAGAUUACCUAAACCCAUGGGAGGAUUGGGUUUUAGAGAUAUGAGGACGUUCAACCAGGCUUUGCUCGCCAAACAAGCCUGGAGAUUACUGGACAGGCAGGAUAGCUUAUGUGCGCGUUUAAUCAAGGUGAGAUACUACCCCUCAGGCCAGCUUUUGGACACAGUGUUCCAGGGCACUGGCUCAGAAGUUUGGAAAGGAAUCUUGCAUGGUCUUGAGCUGAUUAAAAAGGGUGUCAUUUGGCGUGUCGGCAACGGUAUGAAGAUCCGCACUUGGCGUGACCCAUGGCUCCCCCGACCUUACUCCUUUCGGCCAAUCACCCCGAAGGGAAAUUGCCGCUUCAAUAGGGUUUCGGAUUUCCUGGAUGGCAAUGGUGCAUGGCGGCAGGAUCGGCUCGGUGAGUUUUUCUGGCCCAUGGAUGUUGACCAGAUACUGAAGAUACGUGCAUCGCCUCGCUAG